AUUGAACGCCGGCGGCGUGCCUAACACAUGCAAGUCGAGCGGUAACAGGUGUAGCAAUACAUGCUGACGAGCGGCGGACGGGUGAGCAAUAUUUGGGAAUCUGCCUAUUAGUGGGGGAUAACCCGGGGAAACUCGGGCUAAUACCGCAUACGCACUACGGUGGAAAGCCGGGGACCGCAAGGCCUGGCGCUAAUAGAUGAGCCCAAAUCGGAUUAGCUAGUUGGUGAGGUAACGGCUCACCAAGGCGACGAUCCGUAGCUGGUUUGAGAGAACGACCAGCCACACCGGAACUGAGACACGGUCCGGACUCCUACGGGAGGCAGCAGUGGGGAAUAUUGGACAAUGGGCGAAAGCCUGAUCCAGCGACGCCGCGUGGGUGAAGAAGGCCUGCGGGUUGUAAAGCCCUUUCGGUUGGGAAGAAAAGUAUUGACCUAACACGUCAGUGCCUUGACGUAACCAACAAAAGAAGCACCGGCUAACUCUGUGCCAGCAGCCGCCGUAA
rnacentral:rRNA from 1 species